UUAUCAGACUUGUUGCGAGGUUGUUCCAACAAGUCCGAUACAAUCAUGAUUGAUAUUAAUAAUAAUAUUGUUACAACCUUGUGUCAUCAAACUUGUAACAUUCUUCAGAUUCUUGUAUAUCAUGACUGUAUCAGACUUGUUAGAACAACCUUGUCACAAGUCUGAUAA